rnacentral:rRNA from 1 species
UUCCGGUUGAUCCUGCCGGAGGUCACUGCUAUUGGGAUUCGACUAAGCCAUGCGAGUCGAGAGGGUUCGGCCCUCGGCUGACGGCUCAGUAACACGUGGAUAAUCUGCCCUUAGGUGGAGGAUAAUCUCGGGAAACUGAGGAUAAUACUCCAUAGAUCUAGAAUGCUGGAAUGCAUCUAGAUUGAAAGCUCCGGCGCCUAAGGAUGAGUCUGCGGACUAUCAGGUUGUAGUCAGGGUAAAGACCUGACUAGCCUACGACGGAUACGGGUUGUGAGAGCAAUAACCCGGAGACGAUAUCUGAGACACGAUAUCGGGCCCUACGGGGCGCAGCAGGCGCGAAAACUUCACACUGUGCGAAAGCGCGAUGAGGGAAUCCCAAGUGUUUGCUCGUAAGAGUAAACUGUUUCUUUGUUUAAAACGCAGAGAGAGUAAGGGCUGGGUAAGACGGGUGCCAGCCGCCGCGGUAAUACCUGCAGCUCAAGUGGUGAUCAUUAUUAUUGGGCCUAAAACGUCCGUAGCCGGUUUAGUAAAUGCCUGGGUAAAUCGUGUAGCUUAACUAUACGACUUCCGGGUAGACUGCUAAACUUGAGACCGGGUGAGGCUAGAGGUACUCCUGGGGUAGAGGUGAAAUUCUGUAAUCCUAGGGGGACCACCAGUGGCGAAGGCGUCUAGCUAGAACGGGUCUGACGGUGAGGGACGAAGCCCUGGGGCACAAACCGGAUUAGAUACCCGGGUAGUCCAGGGUGUAAACGCUGCUUGCUUGAUGUUAGUUGGGCUCCGAGCCCAACUAGUGUCGGAGAGAAGUUGUUAAGCAAGCUGCCUGGGAAGUACGGUCGCAAGGCUGAAACUUAAAGGAAUUGGCGGGGGAGCACAGCAACGGGUGGAGCGUGCGGUUUAAUUGGAUUCAACGCCGGA